UACGUAGGGGGCAAGCGUUGUCCGGAAUCAUUGGGCGUAAAGCGCGUGUAGGCGGCCCGAAAAGUCUGAUGUGAAAUCUUGAGGCUCAACCUCAAGCUGUCAUUGGAUACUGUCGGGCUCGAGUCCGGAAGAGGAGAGUGGAAUUCCUGGUGUAGCGGUGGAAUGCGCAGAUAUCAGGAGGAACACCUAUGGCGAAGGCAGCACUCUGGGACGGUACUGACGCUGAGACGCGAAAGCGUGGGGAGCGAACAGGAUUAGAAACCCGGGUAGU
rnacentral:rRNA from 1 species